UACGUAGGUGGCAAGCGUUACUCGGAAUCACUAGGCGUAAAGCGCAUGUAGGCGGUUCGGUAAGUCUCUUGUGAAAGCUCCCGGCUCAACUGGGAGAGGUCAAGGGAAACUACCGGGCUAGAGUGUGGCAGAGGAAGCUGGAAUUCCCGGUGUAGCGGUGAAAUGCGUAGAGAUCGGGAGGAAUACCUAUGGCGAAAGCAGGCUUCUGGGCCGUCACUGACGCUGAGCUGCGAAAGCUAGGGGAGCAAACAGG
rnacentral:rRNA from 1 species